rnacentral:rRNA from 1 species
GAUGAACGCUGGCGGCGUGCCUAAUACAUGCAAGUCGAGCGAACAGAUGAGGAGCUUGCUCCUCUGACGUUAGCGGCGGACGGGUGAGUAACACGUGGAUAACCUACCUAUAAGACUGGGAUAACUUCAGGAAACCGGAGCUAAUACCGGAUAAUAUAUUGAACCGCAUGGUUCAAUAGUGAAAGACGGUUUUGCUGUCACUUAUAGAUGGAUCCGCGCCGCAUUAGCUAGUUGGUAAGGUAACGGCUUACCAAGGCAACGAUGCGUAGCCGACCUGAGAGGGUGAUCGGCCACACUGGAACUGAGACACGGUCCAGACUCCUACGGGAGGCAGCAGUAGGGAAUCUUCCGCAAUGGGCGAAAGCCUGACGGAGCAACGCCGCGUGAGUGAUGAAGGUCUUCGGAUCGUAAAACUCUGUUAUUAGGGAAGAACAAAUGUGUAAGUAACUAUGCACGUCUUGACGGUACCUAAUCAGAAAGCCAUGGCUAACUACGUG